UAGCUGAUACAUGUUAAGGGGCAUAUGUGG
rnacentral:piRNA from 1 species